rnacentral:sRNA from 1 species
ACCUCCCCUUCUUGGAAGCCAGUACUCUGAGGUUUGGUUUGGAGUGGGGAGGUGGGGUUUUCCCUGGGCCCCCUUCAUCUCUCCACUGGGCGAUUCUUGAUCCAGGUGGGAGGCAGUGGGAGUAGGGAACCAUGCAGGACCAUUCUGGGAAGCUGUGCUGGCUGGGAGUUGGGUUCUGCCUUCCAUGGGGCACCUUGUUGUCUGUUGACCAUACUAGCUAGCUUACCUUCUCUCCUUGCAGGGCUGGGGAGCGGCCGGAGCUUUGCCGAGUGUCCCUUCCUGAGUUCCAGCAGUUCCUUCUUGACUACCAGGGGGAGCUGUGGGCUGUUGAUCGCCUCCAGGUGCAGGAGUUCAUGCUCAGCUUCCUCCGAGACCCCUUACGAGAGAUCGAGGAGCCAUACUUCUUCCUGGAUGAGUUUGUCACCUUCCUGUUCUCCAAAGAGAACAGUGUGUGGAACUCACAGCUGGAUGCAGUAUGCCCGGACACCAUGAACAACCCUCUUUCCCACUACUGGAUCUCCUCCUCGCACAACACGUACCUGACCGGGGACCAGUUCUCCAGUGAGUCCUCCUUGGAAGCCUAUGCUCGCUGCCUGC